UUCGCGGUCAUGGGUGGCUAGACCUCCCAGCGCCGCCCUAUAGGUCCCGCUGGAGGGCAAGCUUUUUACGGUGAUGGGCGUCGGCGGAUCCAUGGUUCAGCGCAUUUCGAGCACAAACCUUGAGCACCAUGGCUGCUUGCCAUGAGCUGCCUCACCAUCGCCGCAAAUAUUCGCAAUCUCCAUCGCCAACAAAUGGAUGACGAGUUCGAGCGGUGACCAUCUGUCCAUGGAGCGGGUGAAUCAACGACAUUGCGUCCAUGUCCCUGCGCACCGUCGAGAAGGCGAUGCGGGCGAUCAGCAGCUACGGUGCCGAGAACAAGAACCUGACGCCGACGUGGUUCCUGCUGCACUACCUCCACAGCCACAAGGCUGACGACCUGAGAUGCCUCGCAGGCCUGGCCAAUACGGUCGUGCACGGCGCGGCGUUGUUUCCUGCCAAGGCCUCUUCUGGGUGUUGUGGGUCGCAUCGUCAGAGAAGAUGAGGAAGGUGGGAAGGUUGGUGGGCAAGUACCUCGCGGAGAACUCGCCGGACAAUGGGCUAGGUGUUUCUAGGUUCCUCGCCAUCACCAAGAGCCUACCCGACUCGGCGAGGGGCUGCUGCAACGUGUGUAAAAGGCACUGAACAUCUACCUCGAGCAAUUGAUGCAUAUGGUGGCUUCUUCUCCGCAUGUGGUAACAAGCAUUUCAAUUGGGGGAGGUGGGACGCUGAUCUCUGUUUACCUGGACGACCUCACCAUCCUGUCUUAUGCUUAGUUGAGCUGGGUAAGCCGUGCUAUUCCAAUCUCAAGGUGGUGAACAACAGCUAGCACCAUGUCGAGUUCAAGGUCAAGACGACAUCUCCAGGGUAGUAUUUCGACGGGCCAACCGUGAGCUUCGUCCAGCCAUGGGAUUCUUGCUUGAUAACAAUUAUAGUAGCCUAGAGGACACAAAUGCUAAAAAGGAAGAAAGCUCUCAUCACAUCAACAACAUGAUUAGAUUACAAUAUUGAUGUGUAAUAAGGGAAUGAUACAGAGGUAGUCACUAUAUCCAUUUUUACGCCGAUUUGUCUCUCUUUGAAAAUUCUGUACUGUUGAUGUGUAAGCGGAAGCUUUGUAAAAUUUUCUGGCCAGACUUGGAUUUGCCAACAAGUUUUAUUUGACCUUGUGAUCUUAUUUUACUGAAAUGUUGUUUAUUACAAGGCAAUGCACUUCGUAUUACUAUUAGUUUCUGUACAAUUCUUUGGUUCCAUGUCAGCAUCCUAGGGGUUCAUACAAUACUGACAUAAUAUUUUUAUUCCGUCAGUCAAUUAACUCUUCACUGUACACGUCCCAAGAUGCUCAUUUCUGUACUAACCUUGUUGUUUCUGUUUUGUUGGUAUCAGAGAUAGCUCUCAGAUAGAGAAGUUAACUUAAUUUUUCAGUUGAGGC